CCCGAUGGCAGGUGCUGUGUUAUCUAGACUUGGUACUCCAUUUUAAUUUGUCUGGUUGGUUUGACCCGAUGGCAGGUGCUGUGUUAUCUAGACUUGGUACUCCAUUUUAAUUUGUCUGGUUGGUUUGACCCGAUGGCAGGUGCUGUGUUAUCUAGACUUGGUACUCCAUUUUAAUUUGCCUGGUUGGUUUGACCCGAUGGCAGGUGCUGUGUUAUCUAGACUUGGUACUCCAUUUUAAUUUGUCUGGUUGGUUUGACCCGAUGGCAGGUGCUGUGUUAUCUAGACUUGGUACUCCAUUUUAAUUUGUCUGGUUGGUUUGACCCGAUGGCAGGUGCUGUGUUAUCUAGACUUGGUACUCCAUUUUAAUUUGUCUGGUUGGUUUGACCCGAUGGCAGGUGCUGUGUUAUCUAGACUUAGUACUCCAUUUGAAUUUGUCUGGUUGGUUUGACCCGAUGGCAGGUGCUGUGUUAUCUAGACUUGGUACUCCAUUUGAAUUUGUCUGGUUGGUUUGACCCGAUGGCAGGUGCUGUGUUAUCUAGACUUGGUACUCCAUUUUAAUUUGUCUGGUUGGUUUGACCCGAUGGCAGGUGCUGUGUUAUCUAGACUUGGUACUCCAUUUUAAUUUGUCUGGUUGGUUUGACCCGAUGGCAGGUGCUGUGUUAUCUAGACUUGGUACUCCAUUUGAAUUUGUCUGGUUGGUUUGACCCGAUGGCAGGUGCUGUGUUAUCUAGACUUGGUACUCCAUUUUAUUUAUUUUUCCAGCCCUUCCCUCCCUCAGUAUUAUACUGUAAAUGCCGUCAUUGAAAAUAAGAAUGUGUUCUUAACUGACUUGCCUGGUUAAAUAAAGGUAAAAUAAAAUAAAUAAAUAAAACAUUCAGCCUAAGAUGUAAUUUACUAGUAGAGCCCUGAGGUAGAAGUGAGUUGUGAGUUGUGUUAUACUACACUCACAUUCAUUAUAAGUCUUAAGUGGUAAUUUACAGUAGGGUUGAUCAUAUGCCGAAGCCCAGUGUCAGGCUGAAGAAUAAGAGUAUUUAAAGUGAGGGAGGAAUGAUCUUUUGGUGGUAUUCUACUGACAACUCUUUUAUGUUCAUGUAUUUCAUACCCCUAUGUAUAUUUAAUACUGUGAGGUAUUGUAAUUGUAAUGUCCCUUAGUUUCAUUAUAGAUACAGAAUAGCACCUAUUCAUUGUCUGUCUGUGUGUCUGUGUGUCUGUGUGUCUGUGUGUCUGUGUGUCUGUCUGUCUGUCUGUCUGUCUGUCUGUCUGUCUGUCUGUCUGUCUGUCUGUCUGUCUGUCUGUCUGUCUGUCUGUCUGUCUGUCUGUC